UACGGGGGGUGCGAGCGUUGUCCGGAAUCACUGGGCGUAAAGCGCGUGUAGGCGGUCCGGUAAGUCCGCUGUGAAAGUCGGGGGCUCAACCCUCGGAUGCCGGUGGAUACUGUCGGGCUUGAGUACGGAAGAGGCGAGUGGAAUUCCUGGUGUAGCGGUGAAAUGCGCAGAUAUCAGGAGGAACACCAAUUGCGAAGGCAGCUCGCUGGGACGUUACUGACGCUGAGACGCGAAAGCGUGGGGAGCAAACAGG
rnacentral:rRNA from 1 species